GCUCCUUCCUGAGCUGGGCCCAGGGCUGGGGCAGCUCUGCAGGUGGGGGCUCAGCUGAAUUCCCGGAGCUGUUUUCUUGGAAGAGGCCACUCAGCACCUUAAAUAAAUGUUUAAGCCAAAUUAGGCUUUCCCCCCAGGUCAGGCUUCUGCAUCUUGUGUUUUCAGCAUUUCACUAGACCCCAAUGACACUUCCUGGUUGAUGCUAUAAAGAUAGAUGCAUUAUACAUACACUGUAUAAAAUGUAUAAAGAAUACUACAUUUUCUCUAGUUGUUAUCCCUAACACUUGUGUCUCCCUAGAGGAAUUCGCGGAUUUUGACGAUUUUCCGGGGGUUUGAGCCCACUAGAGGGAGGUGUGCACCAAGCGUGCUUUAAACUGCACCGCUGCCAGGCAGAACGGGCAGUUUAAGAAGAACUCGCGCUGACUGCAGAUAAAAAUAAUUGAUGAACGCCGUUUAAAAGCCAGGAAAUAAAACCAGAAGGAAUCAGUAUGCCUUUUUAAAAUUAAAAACGCCUCCUUUGCUGAUGUAGUUACAGCUCAACCACAGCAUGAGGUCCCAGUUGCUCCUGCGACUUGCUUUGCUGUCUGCUCUGAUUAAGUACUGAAUGUGUGGUCCUUUCUUUUCCAGCCUGGAAUUUUAUGUGUAUAUGUGUCUAGCCAGGAUCAGCCACACUUAAGAUCAAGCUUUGCAGGCAGCGGACAAGGGUGUUUCACACCUUUCUGCUAAAUCAGUAAUAGAGUAUUUACCUCCAAUAUCACUUAUUUGGCAGAGGUCACGCCUGUUUAAAUUUGCUUUGGCUUGGGUUUGUUCCAGGUUGAUGUUACUGGGCUAGGAAGUCUCCUGUACCUGGGCACCAGAAACACGCAGUGAGGAAAUGAAUUAAUUUAAACUUGAUUUGCAGAGCAUUUCACUUAAGCUCAUGUCUUCAGAUCACAAAGUUGUAAUUUCUAGGGAUGAAGCCAUUCACCUGAACAUAUCCUUGGGCAGCAGUGCAGCCAUCUUCCAGCUGCCCCUGGAGGUACUGGAGGGCACAGACCCUCCUCCCCACACCUCAGCCUCAGGAUGGGCUCCACUCGGAGGAGAACGUGCCCCAAGCAAACAGAAAACAGUCCUGAGGAUUGUCAUGAGGGAGUAGGACUGAGCAAAGUUGUCCUGCAUAGACUUAGUAGGUAUGUGACUGUCCAAGUUUAAUUUAAUGUAUUAAUUACUGAUGUGGAAUGAAAAAUGAAAAUACACCAUUCCUAUGAAGCAGCUGAGUAGCUAUUGCUGGCCAUAUAGA